GAAGGUAAUAAAGAGAGUCCCGUGCGUGCGUGGAAAAUGAAAACAAUGAGAAUUCGAGGACAUCACCUUUCAAUUGACAGGCGGCAUCCGCUCUUUUUACAGUCUUUUAUGUGUGUGUGUUUGCAACAACUUUUUAUGAGAAAU
ensembl:ncRNA F56F3.8 ncRNA